CUCAUCUUUCUACGCGGUGGUGUUCUCGUUCUUGCGUAGUUUGCCUGUCGGUUCCUCAAUCAACGAGCAAGAUUUCAACAGACCUUGGUUAAACAAGUGAGACGCACAAACCUGAGAAUGAUCAAGCGCUCACAUCGAUCGUGUCGACCCUGAGCUUACCUAUGUUUAGUGAAAGACCUGAUUUUGGCACCGGGAUGCUGGCUCCCCAGCCUGGUUGUUUUGCCCCACAUCAGCACACUGUUCGCCGCUUGUCGUCAACUGUUUUAGCGAACCUUCUACGGCAUGGGAUUCGACGAGCAGAAGCCCGGGGUUAGCAGUGCCAGUCGCUUCCCGGUUAAUGAGAUUUUCCCCGCUUCCGACGCCGUUGUGUCGUCUUUUUUUUACAGCUUCUCUCGCGGAUAAACCAGCAAGUGUCGUUUCGCGGCGCCCCCUCAGCUUGAUGUUCCCCUUCACUUCUGCAGAAUUGUUCCUGUCGAUUUUUCCAAUCCCGAACACAUAAUUGGCAUCGGAGCUACUUGGGUGGAAGUGAAGUUCCUUGUAACUUGAGGCUGACAAAACAGUUUCACGGUGCGAAUUCAUCAAAAUCUAUCGGCAGUACGCUGGACGGGCAUCGAGUGCAGUCAAGCAAUCGACACAGACAAUGCCUUUUCGCGCAUUGUUUACCCGGGGCCCUUGCGCGGCGUGACGCCUCCCUGUGUGUCACAGGGCCCGCUGGCCGGCACAAAACAGUGCUGGAAACCCCAGAAGAGAAAGCCACAGGCGCCUCACUGGGUGUCUACAUUCGUGUUUGUUAAUGUCGCACCGGUGACAACAGAGGGACGGGCUCUCGGGGUAUCUACCUCAGAUGACCCUAGGCAGAAGCCGCUCGAAAGCACUUUCCACUCCAAAGAGUGACGUGUUUUCCUAGAGAGUACGCAGAAUCCGAUGACCGUGUUCGCUCGUAAUAAACAUGCUGUGCCUGUGCCACUCGGCAAACGACUGCA
rnacentral:lncRNA from 1 species